rnacentral:lncRNA from 13 species
AUGAGCAUGAACACCUCAAAGUAUAGGCAAUUGCUGUUGUAUUUGAGAAACCAACUAAGAUAUAACCCUACUAGAGCUUUUUCUUUUCUUCUUCUUCUUUUUUUUUUUUUCUACAACAAAAAUGUACCAAAUGCCCAUUUUCUUCCCCUGGGGGAUGAAUACAGUCAUAACACAAAGCAACCCAAACUUGAUAGUUGUACAACUUGCAACAUGGAAAAUGCGAUUGAAAUAAAGUCAGCUGUGCUGUGGCAGGGCUUCAUCGGGAAGAAAAGAACUCUCUUUUUCCCUCACUGGGAUUACAAGCAGACUACACUGAAGAGUUUCCUGUGAUGAUUGUUCAGGACACCAACAGCCCUUGCACAGAUGUCAUUGUUGCUAUCGUGGUAAGUUGAUACUUGGCUUAUAGGAAAAUGUGCUGGUUGGUUGUAUUGUCUUUCUCACACACCUGAAUCCACUUUAUUUACUAACCGCACAUUUUUCUGUGUGAAAUACUCCAGGAUUUAUAAUUCCUCCAAAACACAAAAUACAACAAUUGUAAUUUAAUUAUUCCCAAGCAUUAACUUUACUCUUUAAACAUCUUUUCAUAUCAUACAUGAUUUCAAAUUUAAAUAACCUAAAGAGGAAGAAAAUUUCU